UACGGGGGGGGCAAGCGUUGUUCGGAAUUACUGGGCGUAAAGGGCUCGUAGGCGGCCGACUAAGUCAGACGUGAAAUCCCUCGGCUUAACCGGGGAACUGCGUCUGAUACUGGUUGGCUUGAGUGUGGGAGAGGGAUGCGGAAUUCCAGGUGUAGCGGUGAAAUGCGUAGAUAUCUGGAGGAACACCGGUGGCGAAGGCGGCAUCCUGGACCAUUACUGACGCUGAGGAGCGAAAGCCAGGGGAGCAAACGGG
rnacentral:rRNA from 1 species